rnacentral:rRNA from 1 species
AUUGAACGCUGGCGGCAGGCCUAACACAUGCAAGUCGAGCGGAGCGGCGGACGGGUGAGGGAUGCCUAGGAAUCUGCAUGGUAGUGGGGGAUAACGUCCGGAAACGGGCGCUAAUACCGCAUACUAUCAGAUGAGCCUAGGUCGGAUUAGCUAGUUGGUGGGGUAAAGGCCUACCAAGGCGACGAUCCGUAACUGGUCUGAGAGGAUGAUCAGCCACACUGGAACUGAGACACGGUCCAGACUCCUACGGGAGGCAGCAGUGGGGAAUAUUGGACAAUGGGCGAAAGCCUGACCCAGCCAUGCCGCGUGUAUGAAGAAGGUCUUCGGAUUGUAAAGCACUUUAAGUUGGGAGGCGUUACCUACAGAAUAAGCACCGGCUAACUCCGUGCCAGCAGCCGCGGUAAUAC